AAAUUUUAGUUCUAUAAAUGAGGUUCUGGAAAGACCCAUGAACAAGUCAUAUUAAAUGCCAUUUAACAUAUUUUGCUUUCAUUUAACCAUAGUUACGCUUAUCUUUUUUUGGAUGUUGUUCAUUCAAAAGAUAACAUUCUGAUUUAAAAAGAGAAAGCUAUGAACUAUAACCUAAAUAACAAAGUAAAAUAAAUUUUAAAAUCUGAGAUGUUAUUUCUUAAGCACUUCUCUUUAAUUCAAUAUGAGACAAGGAUAUAUAUUGUAUAAACCAAGGGAAAGUUUACAUUUAACCCAUUCCUCAGAAAACAGGAAGGUUUAAAGAGAAAUAAAAUACUCUAAGCGUGAUUUUCCCUCAGGUCGGAUUUGAAUCCACUGCUUUUCAACUCAUGAACAUCACUGCUGGCACAAGCCACGUUAUGAUUUCUAGGAGAGGCACAUAUGGCGCUCUCUCGGUUGCCUGGACCACUGGAUAUGCUCCUGGGUUAGAAAUUCCUGAAUUCAUUGUUGUUGGCAACAUGACCCCAACACUGGGGAGCCUUUCAUUUUCCCACGGUGAACAAAGGAAAGGAGUUUUCCUGUGGACGUUUCCCAGCCC
rnacentral:sRNA from 1 species